AGCCAGACUCCUACGGGAGGCAGCAGUGGGGAAUAUUGCACAAUGGGGGAAACCCUGAUGCAGCGACGCCGCGUGAGUGAAGAAGUAUUUCGGUAUGUAAAGCUCUAUCAGCAGGGAAGAAAAUGACGGUACCUGAUUAAGAAGCCCCGGCUAACUACGUGCCAGCAGCCGCGGUAAUACGUAGGGGGCAAGCGUUAUCCGGAUUUACUGGGUGUAAAGGGAGCGUAGACGGUGAUGCAAGUCAGAAGUGAAAGCCCGGGGCUCAACGCCGGGACUGCUUUUGAAACUGUGUAACUGGAGUGCAGGAGAGGUAAGCGGAAUUCCUGGUGUAGCGGUGAAAUGCGUAGAUAUCAGGAGGAACACCAGUGGCGAAGGCGGCUUACUGGACGGCAACUGACGCUGAGGCUCGAAAGCGUGGGGAGCAAACAGGAUUAGAUACCCUGGUAA
rnacentral:rRNA from 1 species